CAGGAUGCUCGUAAAGCUGCAAAAGAAAGUAGUGAACUGUCCAGCAACAUGUCUUGUAUAUGGAAAUUGUAUGGAGAUAUUCAGCUUACAUUUGCAAGAUGCUUUCCAUGGUCUGCUGGAACUGAAAACUCAGAUUUCACGUU